UAAAUGAAUAAAUGUUUUAUUUCAAAUUUAAAUAAUAUAAUUUUAGUCCUAAUUUUUUAAAAAAAUUUAUAUAUAUAUAUAUAUAUAUAUAGAUAUAGAUAUACGCUUCCAACACGUACCCGAUUCCUAAUAUUUUAAAAAAUCUCGCUUCUGCGCUUUCUUACGCUUCCGCUUCCACGUACCCGCUUCCGUUUCCAUGUAACAUAGAUUCGGUGACGCAAAAAAUGCUUUACGUCCAUUAGAUGCCAUCUGAAGCCAAUCUAGUAAGUUGGUGACUGUCACACAAUAAAUAUAAACAUUUAAAGAAGCUCCCUACCUAACAAAACCUAACAUAACAUGUUAGCAUAUAAUCAUUUUCAGUGUCCCUAACGUUGUAAUGAAACCGUAACGCAGUCAUGAAACCAAACCAUUGACUUAGUCUUUUUUACUACAACAUAGUAUGACCUGGAUUAAAGAGUUUUAACAUCUUUGUAGCAGCAGUACACGUUCUAUAAGAUGAUUGAUAGUAUUCAUUAAUGCAAAGAUAAGAUAAUCUUUUGCUUCGUGGCUCUUUUUACUUCAUCUUCUUUCGGAUCUCGUAAAAGUAACUCAAGGCAACGACCGCAGACGCAAUAGCAACCCCGAAUGCUCCCUGAGCCAGAACAGUGCUGUCUGAA